GACAGAGGGUGCAAACGUUGUUCGGAUUUACUGGGCGUAAAGGGCGCGUAGGCGGCCUGUUAAGUCGAACGUGAAAUCCCUGGGCUCAACCCAGGAACUGCGUCCGAUACUGGCAGGCUUGAAUUCGGGAGAGGGAUGCGGAAUUCCAGGUGUAGUGGUGAAAUGCGUAGAUAUCGGGAGGAACACCAGUGGCGAAGGCGGCUACCUGGCCCAUUCUUGACGCUGAGGCGCGAAAGCUAGGGGAGCAAACGGG
rnacentral:rRNA from 1 species